CCUACGGGUGGCAGCAGUGAGGAAUAUUGGUCAAUGGUCGGGAGACUGAACCAGCCAAGUCGCGUGAGGGAUGAAGGUACAGAGUAUUGUAAACCUCUUUUGUCAGGGAACAAAGGCGGCGACGCGUCCCCGUCUGAGUGUACCUGAAGAAAAAGCAUCGGCUAACUCCGUGCCAGCAGCCGCGGUAAUACGGAGGAUGCGAGCGUUAUCCGGAUUUAUUGGGUUUAAAGGGUGCGCAGGCGGCAUGUUAAGUCAGCGGUAAAAGCCCGGGGCUCAACCCCGGCCCGCCGUUGAAACUGGCAGUCUUGAGUUGGCGAGAAGUAUGCGGAAUGCGUGGUGUAGCGGUGAAAUGCAUAGAUAUCGCGCAGAACUCCGAUUGCGAAGGCAGCAUGCCGGCUCCAAACUGACGCUGAGGCACGAAAGCGUGGGUAUCGAACAGGAUUAGAUACCCCUGUAGUC
rnacentral:rRNA from 1 species